rnacentral:rRNA from 1 species
AUUGAACGCUGGCGGCAGGCCUAACACAUGCAAGUCGAGCGGCAGCACGGGAGUUUGCUCCUGGUGGCGAGCGGCGGACGGGUGAGUAAUGCCUAGGAAUCUGCCUGUUAGUGGGGGAUAACUCGGGGAAACUCGAGCUAAUACCGCAUACGUCCUACGGGAGAAAGUGGGGGACCUUCGGGCCUCACGCUAACAGAUGAGCCUAGGUCGGAUUAGCUAGUUGGUGGGGUAAAGGCCUACCAAGGCGACGAUCCGUAGCUGGUCUGAGAGGAUGAUCAGCCACACUGGAACUGAGACACGGUCCAGACUCCUACGGGAGGCAGCAGUGGGGAAUAUUGGACAAUGGGCGCAAGCCUGAUCCAGCCAUGCCGCGUGUGUGAAGAAGGUCUUCGGAUUGUAAAGCACUUUAAGUUGGGAGGAAGGGCGCUUGGCUAAUACCCAAGGGUUUUGACGUUACCAACAGAAUAAGCACCGGCUAACUUCGUG